CCUCCAUCUCAGUCCCAAAAAACGAUUGAGGAAUCACCACUAGUGGAGAGGAAGGAAGAACAUUUACAUGAACACGAAGCUCUAUCUCAACUAGAGAAACAUAUAUCUUCUUCAUGAAUGGUCGUCAAACCUCAAACACUAGCUAGAUAAUAAGGUAAGCCACACUUGGUGGAGUAGAAAAAGGUUUCAACGUUUGUCACUAUGGGAUACCCAUCCCUUGAUUGUCGAUCCUAUAACUUUGAUGCACCUCUAGUACCAAGUGUGAAGGAAUUAGAAACUUUAUGCGCUCUAGAGUCACACCAACAUGAAACACUGCUUUGUCUCUUAGCAAUGUUCCAACAACCCUUUUCAUAUUGGUAGCAUUGCCUGAGACCAAAUCAAAUUCCUAAGCAGCAGGUGAGUCUAUCUUGGGUAAAUCCCACGAUGUCUCUAUCAUGCGAUUG
rnacentral:lncRNA from 1 species